UACGUAGGGUGCGAGCGUUAAUCGGAAUGACUGGGCGUAAAGGGUGCGUAGGCGGUUUGCUAAGACGGAUGUGAAAUCCCUGGGCUCAACCUAGGAACAGCAUACGUGACUGGCAGGCUAGAGUAUCGAAGAGGGGGGUAGAAUUCCACGUGUAGCGGUGAAAUGCGUAGAUAUCAGGAGGAACACCUGUGGUGUAGACAGCUUACUGGACCAUUUCUGACGCUGAGACACGAAAGCGUGGGUAGCAAACAGG
rnacentral:rRNA from 1 species